GUAAGAACUUCGGCAGUACAUAUACUAAAAUUGGAACACUACAGAGAUUAGCAUGGCCCUGUGCAAGGAUGCCAUACAAAUCUAUGAAGCGUUCCAUAUUUUU
rnacentral:snRNA from 1 species